AAAAGUAUAUUUACUGUAGCUGAUUUCUAGAAAGUGCUGAUCAUGUCUGGUCGAGGAAAGCAGGGAGGUAAAGCGAGGGCCAAGGCAAAGUCUCGCUCCUCGCGGGCUGGGCUGCAGUUCCCGGUGGGCCGUGUGCACCGGCUGCUCCGCAAAGGUAAUUAUGCUGAGCGGGUGGGAGCUGGUGCCCCGGUCUAUAUGGCCGCGGUGCUGGAGUAUCUGACCGCGGAGAUUCUCGAGUUAGCCGGCAACGCUGCUCGGGAUAACAAGAAAACCAGGAUCAUCCCACGUCAUCUGCAGCUCGCCAUCCGUAACGACGAAGAGCUCAAUAAGCUCCUGGGGAAAGUGACGAUCGCUCAAGGGGGUGUCCUGCCCAAUAUCCAGGCCGUGUUGCUGCCCAAGAAGACUGAGAGCCACAAGGCCAAGAGCAAGUAAAGCUGUCAGUAAGUAAAAAUGACCAAGAAGAAACCGAAAAUACUACUCCAAAAACCAUUGCAAAGGCUCUUUUCAGAGCCACGCACAAAAUCAAAAAAGAGCUCUGUUAUCUUUCGCUUUCUCUCAACCUAGGAAGGAACCGGUUAACGUAAAAUACGUCUCUUUUUUUUUCUUGAAAUAAUCAAUACUUGUAGCAUCGGGCGUGGAUUAGGAUAUUAAAGGAGCUCUAUUAAACUAAUAACGAAACUGGUAAAAGGAAUGUCCAAUUGUGUCUCUACAGGAAAUACAAGUGGUACUUCUCAUUAGCCAAUCCUUUCACAACGCGGGCUUUUCAAAUUGAGAGCACAACACCAUACAGGGGACAUUGGACUCUUAAGAGUAGUCUGUUUUAGCUUGUUGGCUCGUUAAAAAGUUUCCAUAAAGCAGAUUUCUAGCAUAGGCUGAACAAUUGCGGUAAUAAAGGAACAAAACUCUUUCCGGGAUCAGCUCAUAUUCAUUAAUUCAUUGAGUGGUACACGUAAAUAAAUAUUUUAUUAUUCCUCCUUCCCCAGAUUAAAUAAAGAAGGAAAUUUUUGUUUUAUGGAAAACACCAGGACAUUGUUAGAUUAACCUGGCAUUUCAGCUCCUUUUGGGAACGGUCGAAUGAGUGGUUCUUAAAAUAGUCGUUGGGUUUAUUUGCGUGAGAAGAGCCUUCUCAGUAAUUUCACUGCUUGGGUGCCUCCGCCUUAGCUUUCCUGCUUUAGGUUUCCUUGGUGUAGACUCGGCAGUCGGGAUCGUAGCAGCCUCGUUGAGCUUGGCGGCUUUUUGGAGGGGGCUCCUGGCUGCUUUCUUGACAGUUGCAACUUUUGUGUUCUUGUCCCCCCCCCCCGCAUUUCCAGGACCAGGCUACAGCGUCUUGGCAAUUGGUUUCUAAGGCUUUGCCACUGGCUUUUUCUUCGGUUUCCCUCGUCGUCUUGUUGAGUCUAAAGGAGCUAGAGGCACAAGAGCCUUUGAUCUGGACCAAGAUGCCUUGGGUCACCAAGCUAUUGAGUUUCAACUUGAUGCGGUUGUUACUUUUCACCACGUCGUACCCUCCAGCUGCCUGAGCUUUUGAAGAGCCAUUGUUUGGUCAUGAGCUCUGUGCGAGAACUUACGGGCUUCGCUGCUUCCUGUUGCUUUCUUCGGCUUUUUAGCGCAGCUUCCCACGUACUAAGGUGGGCGAAAAGAAUGGAGGGAAAGUACAGCUGGUGGCUGUUUGUAAUACAGCUAAAGCUGCUCUGUGAUUGGUUCUCUGUGAACUAGAAAAAACUUUUCUCCUAGCUCAGUUUCUUUUUUUAGCUAAACAACGUGUACUUUUGCACAGUAUCUGCCACAGAAUCAUCUCAUCACACAGUCGAGUGAAGGGGAAACAGGGUAUUUUUAUUUAGUGCAGCUUCCAGUUGGAGACAGUUGAAGAUGAACCAGAAACAGAAUAAACUUUUUUUUUCCCCGUGGAAAUGAAAUCUGUACCGUUAGAAAUAAAAUUACAGCUACAAUGGGAUCUUUUUCUUUAAAGUGCUUUCUCCAAAUCCGUGUAGCAAGGCAGGGAUUUGAAUCAAUCUGUACGGUGCAAACUGAUGUACAAAAGAAGGAACAACACAAGCCCAUUUCCUCAGUUUUGAAUAUGAGAGAAGAAUUAAUUAUAGAAAAUUUCUGCUAAUAUGUUGGAAACCGCCUGUUGCUGCUUCUGCUGUCUCUACUCCUGAAGCAAAAGCCUGGGCUAAAACACUGAAGGUGUAGAAGGCCCCAACCAGCAUCAGACCCCCAUUGUUCUAGGUACUUUACUGUUGUGGAAAAUUGACCACACAAUUGAUUUUGGAUCAGACAGCCUGAGGCUCCUUCAUUUUAUAUGAGCAUCUAUGCAAGGAGAGUCAGCAUGGCCCCAUGCAAGGUGGCAAGCUGCUUUGCAGUCUGUAAAUUUCUAGCCAGCUUAUAAAGGUUAAAACCACUAACAAAUUACACACACAUUGUACAUUAAUUCCUUAUUUGGAAUAUAUUGCAAAAUUAAUAUAGGACAAAAGCAAAAACAAGCAUCUCACCCACUACCCCCUCCCCAUUACUCACUGUCUGUUCUUUUGUGGUCAGCGACCUUUCUAAUACAACUGUUGUGAUUAUAUAUUUCAUAAGCCUAGCUUUGCAAAUUAUGCUAUUUGGGGACUUUAUCACUCUGCCCCCUCAUGCCCUUCAUACACACAAAGCCAUUGUUCCGUUUUGGGAACUUUCCACUGUGACUCCUUUUACCUCUUGACACACAGAAGCAACUUUCCAUCACUCUUUCAUCACUCUGUCCCCCUCCUCUCUGCCCCUUGUACACAGAGACAAGCUAAACCAAAGUUCAACACAGCCUAGAAACAAGCUUAUCCAAAGUUUAGGCCUAAAAGCCUGGCCAAAGUUGUAAGCCCACCAUAUUUUCCCUCACAUAUCUAAUUUUCUGACCACAAGGCCA